CCGCCCAUAGCUCAUCUGGUAGAGCAGUCGCCUCUUAAGCGAUUGGUGGUAGGUUCGAGUCCUACUGGGCGGA
rnacentral:tRNA from 1 species